rnacentral:rRNA from 1 species
GACGAACGCUGGCGGCGUGCCUAAUACAUGCAAGUAGAACGCACAGUCUAUACCGUAGCUUGCUGCACCAUAGACUGUGAGUUGCGAACGGGUGAGUAACGCGUAGGUAACCUGCCUGGUAGCGGGGGAUAACUAUUGGAAACGAUAGCUAAUACCGCAUCAUAUUAAUUAUUGCAUGAUAAUUGAUUGAAAGAUGCAAUUGCAUCACUACCAGAUGGACCUGCGUUGUAUUAGAUAGUAGGCGAGGUAACGGCGCACCUAGGCGACGAUACAUAGCCGACCUGAGAGGGUGAUCAGCCACACUGAGAGUGAGACACGGCCCAGACGGCUACGGGAGGCAGCAGGAGGGAAUCGUCGGCAAUGGACGAGAGUCUGACCGAGCAACGCCGCGGGAGUGAAGAAGGUUGUCGGAUCGGAAAGCUCGGUUGUAAGGGAAGAACGGGUGUGAGAGUGGAAAGUACACACUGUGACGGUAUCUUACCAGAAAGCGACGGCUAACUACGUG